rnacentral:rRNA from 1 species
CAAUAGCGUAUAUUAAAGUUGUUGCAGUUAAAAAGCUCGUAGUUGGAUUUCGGGACGGGCCAGUUGGUCCGCCGCAAGGUGUGUUACUGACUGGUCUGUUCUUCUUCGCAAAGACUGCGUGUGCUCUUCGUUGAGUGUGCGUAGGAUUUACGACGUUUACUUUGAAAAAAUUAGAGUGUUCAAAGCAGGCUAUCGCUUGAAUACAUGAGCAUGGAAUAAUGGAGUAGGACUUUGGUCCUAUUUUGUUGGUUUCUAGGACCGAAGUAAUGAUUAAGAGGGACAAUUGGGGGCAUCCGUAUUUCGUUGUCAGAGGUGAAAUUCUUGGAUUUACGAAAGACGAACAACUGCGAAAGCACUUGCCAAGAGUGUUUUCAUUAA